AGCCCAUUGUCCAUACGGU
rnacentral:siRNA from 1 species